rnacentral:lncRNA from 1 species
AAAACUUCCUCCCAGUCAGAGCGAGUCCUCAGAGGAGGGGCCUGCUUCCCGCGUGGGAGGGCCACAUCAUAGGGUGUAUAUGUGAAGGCGUGGAUGGCCAUUUGAUGGAGAGCGCUGUGUCCUCUCUGCCUCCACAGCCUGACCUCACGGUCUUCACUGCUGGAGCUUCGUAGCAGGUCUUCACACCUGGCAGGGCAAGACUCCCCGUCCUCAUCUUCUUCUUCUGGAAGGUGGCCUGUGAUUUUGAUCGGUCCCAUUACUGAUGACGAUUUAAGAUUAGCCCUGAGCUAACAUCUGCUGCCAAUCCUGCUGUUUUUGCUGAGGAAGACUGGCCCUGAGCUAACAUCCGU